UUCCCUUCCCAGCCGGCCCGCUCUGUGCGCGUGGGCGAGGCUCGCUCGCGAACAAGCCAACGGCGCGCAGGCUCAGUUCAGCUCUGCUCCGCCUCUCAGUAGCCUCAGGGAAGGUCGCUCGGGGCGGGCCUCUGGCGUCACGUGACCCAGAGCGCGCCCUACCAUUCCCCGCGCCGCUUUUCCCUUCUGUUGUUUUCCCUUCGGAGCGGAAAAUCAAGGUUUGGUACAGCAAAUCGGUGCCUCGAGCUCACUGUUUUCGGUCACUUGGCAACCCGAAGCGGCGCAGUAAUAUAGCGAUUGGCUGCAUAGAGUAUAGAGAUAAGAAAAUACUAGAGUUACAAACGGUGUUGUCAACAAAUGGACUUCCUAGGUGCUUUUUUUUAAAAAAAAUCUCGCUCGAAAGUGAAAGUUGACUAUAGAAAACGAUGCAGAAAGUUAGGGUUUCAGAGUCACUCUAAUGUUGGUGGCAACGCCCCUGUUUCAAUCAGUACAAGGGAGCAGCAAAAACAGAAGUUCAUGGUCCCCCCCCCCUCCAAUUCAGGGUCUUGUGGUAGCAAGCAUGACCUGUCCCCUUAACUAAGCAGGGUCCACCCCCUGGUUGCAUAUAAAUGGGAGACUUGAUGUGUGAGCACUUUAAAAGAUUCCCCUCAGGGGAUGGAGCCACUCUGGGAAGAGCGGAAGGUUUCAAGUUCCCUCCCUGGCAGCAUCUCCAAGAUCGGGCUGAGAGAGAUUCCUCCUGCAACCUUGGAGAAGCCGCUGCCAGUCUGGGUAGACAAUACUGAGCGAUGUGGACCAAUGGUUUGACUCAGUAUAUGGCAGCUUCCUAUGUUCCUAUGUACAGUACAUGUCUCCCCAGUGCUGAAGUAUGACACUUUGCCCUCACUUCUGCAGGUGACAAUUAUGACAUAACCUGUGAUUUCUCUGUUAUGAUGCGCUCAUUGUCUCCUUGAUGAUGGCUAAAGCUCAGUGGUGUGGAGCAGGGAUUCUCAACCUUGGGUCCCCAGAUGUUAUUGGACUCCCAUAAUCCCCAACUCCCAUAAUCCCCAACCAAAGGCCACGGGCUGGGGAUGGGAUUAUGGAAGUUGAAGUCCAAUAACGUCUGGGGACCGAGCGUUGAGCAUCCCUGGUGUGGAGGAUGCAUCUCACCGGGACAGCUUGAUUAUCCAGCUGGAUUCUCCUCUUUCAAUACUGAGUAUAGUUUUGUCACAGCUGAAGGCAGUUAAAGAAAAUGGUCUCAAAACAAAAAACAUGAUGUAAGGUAAGGAAUGUUGCAUGGUUUCAGAAAAAAAGAAGCGAAAAACUUCAGAUGUUAACAUCCCCAAUGCAGAGGUAAGUGCUGCUUUGUUAAAGAAAGCAGCCAUUUGGUUUCUUUCCUAGAGAAUGAAAGGCAACACCUUCACAACAGGCUUUAUUAGCAGGAAAUAGCUUAGCUUGAAAUGCAUGUGUGGCAAGCGGGGUGGGGGAGAUUUUGUUUGUAAAGUUUUUACUUUCUAAUCUUCUCACUAGGAUCUUGUUUCGCUGCCACCAUAUCCUCUCUAUAUAAUCAGAACUUUAUAGGGGACUUCAGGUUUGAUAACACAGUGAUGUAGUGAUACAGACAGUGAUAUAGACAGAGACACUCUCCUUUGAAAUUUCAGAAAACAAAUAAAGAGUUAUUAAUUUACAGAUUCUGAGGGUUGUUUCUUUUAAAGAGUUUGGUACUUUGACCAGUACAUACUUUCAGUUUCUCUUCAUAUGUACACACAGUUUUAUGAAUUUGGUUUUACACUCACCUUUCUUCUCAAAGCUCAUAUAUUAGAAUUACAACUGUGUUUAUUUUUACAGAAUCUUCCCUGGUUCUUCUGAACUCAGGCUUCUCCCAGGCUGUAUCUCAGACACACACACACACACACACACACACACACACACUGUACUGUGUUUUCACAGUACACACUCCUCCUGCCUACUGUCACUCUCAAGAUCCCAGCUGCUCUAACAGCUUUGCUCCACAAGGGGGCUUCACAGGCACAGGGUUUGUCACUGCCAAACACACUUACUAUGGAAUUUAACCCUUUCCUACCCAGAUAUCUCUAUACAGUUUAUUCUCCAAUCUUGUUGCACUGUUUCAGGAAGGAGGAAGUGUAUUAGAGCACAGGUGGUCACCACCAACUUGGAGGCAAGUCCUUAAGAGAUUGAAAGGUAAUUUUCCAGUGUACAAGGAAGUUAUCUCAAGAGAAAAAGAAAUACUUCCCCAAGGAAAGCAACAAUACAUCUUUAUAUUGCAUGGGAACAGUCUUGUGCAGAUAAGUGGGGGAGGGGGCAAUCUUUUUUGCAGGAAAACAAUUUAUGGUUUCCCCAAAGCUUAAGAAGGCAGCAAACCUAUAACAAAAGGUCUGGUGUAAGGUAAGGAACAUCAGGAUUGUUGCUUUUCUUCAGGACAUGUGAAACAUCACCAGCAUGGAAAUAGAUCCUUAAGAAGUAAGCCCUUUAUUGCUAAUGAAAGUGGCUAUGUGGUUUCUUUCAAUGAUUAAUAAUAAUAAUAAUAAUAAUAAUUCAAUUUCUAUACCGCCCUUCCAAAAAUGGCUCAGGGUGGUUUACAAAAAGAAAUAAACAAAUAAGAUGGCUCCCUGUCCCCAAAGUGCUCACAUUCUAAAAAGAAACAUAAGACACACACCAGCAACAGUCACUGGAGGAAGUACUGUGCUGGGGGUGGAUGGGGCCAGUUACUCUCCCCCUGCUAAAUAGAAUCACCACAGUAAAAGGUGCCUCUUUGCCCAGUUAGCAGGGGAUUAAAACUAUCAUUGAAACACUUAUGAUAGUUAAACAUCUAUCUGAUCAUUUGGUGUCAUUGUUUCUGCAGAUUGAAAGGGAUUUUUUUCAGUUAAAAAGAGUUAUCCAUCCAUUCUCUAAAGAUGUUAUCGUGAAAAGUAGUUUCUUUUCAACAGAUAAGUAGUUGAAAGGAAAAUACCAUCCUUUAAAACAGUGUACAAUCAAUAAAACCAAUCCAUCUUUCUUAUGAAGCCAAGCAGUAAAUUUAUCAUCAGGAAUAUUGGCAGCACAGGAAUUUUGUUGCUUUAUCUCAUCCAGAAGUAACAAAACAAUGCACAUGAAAAGGAAGGAAACCUUGAGACUUAAGCAGUGGAAUUGUAUGCAAUGAAUUGUUUUUGCCCCUCAGAAGAGAUUGCUCCUUUGCAUGAUGUUUAAACUACACUAAACUUUAGUUACUCUUUCAGAUGGAGCAAAACAAAACAUUGCUUUGAAUACUUGCAGAGCCAGCCAGCUAAUAGAGAGGAAAUCUCUGGCAAGGGAAUGAAUUUAAACACCAUUAAUAACACACACAGGAAGGAAUUGCAUUCAGAAAAGGAAUGCAGACCCCUACUGUCUCUGCAUGGUGAUUUUCCAUGAACGACAGUAAUACAGUCUGCAGGACACCAGUGAGCCAUUGCAGUAGGAAGCUGGGCCGAGGGAGUGCUUGCUUAUGGUCCUUGCUCACAUACCCAGGGUAGCACUGACUGCCACUUUGGAGACUGGGAAGGAAUUUUCCUCCAGGAUAGAUCAGUCAAGACACUGGAAGCAUUUUGCCUUCCUCUGGGCAUCCACCAGGGGUCACCUGCUAGGUUAUUUGAUAUGCCAUUACAAUAUUUUUAACCCUCAUCCAGAUUUUUAUCUAUCUAUCUAUCUAUUUUAAAUAAUUAAUAAUAAUUAAUAAUAAAUAAAUAAAAUCCAGAUUUGUGGGUGGAUUUCCACCCCCAGCUGUGUAAAAGUUGCAUAAACAAGCAAACCACUAUGCCACUAUCCCAGCUAUGCUCUUGUCAAACUCUUACUUGACUCUGGCACACAAUAUUUCUACAAGUAUGGCCCCUCACCCAUUAUGAUAUUUAUGUUAUUAAUAAAAUAUGACACAGGUAGAAACUGCCCCAAAAUGAAUGGGCUCUCUAUGGUGAGGUGGUUUCUAUCCUAUUCCGAUUAUAUUCCGUUUUGGACUGUGCAGCCAAGACGGCGGACAUGCAGACUGAGAGGGCUUACCAGAAGCAGCCCACAAUCUUCCAGAACAAGAAGUGUGUGCUUCUGGGAGAGACUGGCAAGGAAAAUCUCCCUCAUUAUUAUAAGAAUAUUGUUUCUAUGUGUAAACUGCCCUGAGCCAUUUCUGGAAGAGCGGUAUAGAAAUUGAAAUAAUAAUAAGACCCCAAAAGAGGCCAUUUGUGCACACUUAUAUUGACAAGAAAUGCCCUUUUACGGGUAACAUGUCAAUUUGUGGCCGUAUCCAGUCAGGCAUUGUCACCAAGAUGAAGAUGCAGUGCUCCAUCGUCAUCCGCAGGGACUACCUCCAUUACACCCGCAAGUACAACCACUUUGAAUAGCAUCACAAGAACAUGUCUGGGCACCUGUCUCCUUAUUUCAGGUCAUGCAGCACCUGAGGCAGGAUGGAACCAGCCCGGCACGAUGUGCAUGUGCCAACGACGACUCCUACCAGCCUUCAGUGCUCUUCCCGGCCUGCAUCCCUGGCAUGGAUAGGAGCAAGCACAAGCUGGUCUCCAUCUUCUUCUGCUCCUUCUACCUCUUGAGAAACUGUACCAUCCUGUUCAUUAUUAAGAGAACUCCAGGCCUCCACAAGCCAAUGUACUACUUCUUUUCCAUGCUGGCAGUUACGGAUCUGGGUCUGAUAAUGUGCACUCUUCCCACCACACUGGGCAUUUUUUGGUUUGAUGUCAGGACCAUUGGAUUUGAUAUCUGCCUCACCCAAAUGUAUUUCAUUCACAUUGUCUCUGUGCUGGAGUCCUUGCUGCUUCUGGUCAUGGCCAUGGAUCGCUUUCUGGCCAUUUCAUACCCUCUGAGGUAUACAGCCAUCUUGACCAAGCUGACUAUCUUCCCAUUUAAUUUCUACUGAAGCAGCUGACAUACUACAGUAACAAUAGCACUCUCUCCCACCCCUUUUGCUUCCACCCUGACAUAAUGAAGUUAGCCUGUGGGGAUAUCCGUGCCAACAUCCGCUAUCUGUUUGGCCUGGCCUUCCAGGGUUUUUAAACUGUUGUAAAUGUUUGGCCUGGACCUCCAGGGUUUUAAAAUUGUUUUAAAUGUUUUCAUUAUUAAUUGGUUUUAUGUUGUUUUUAUAGUUUUUGUUUUUAACUGUUAAUUGAUUUUAAUUGUUUUUAGUUUAAUGAAAAUCACCCUGAGCCAUUUUUAGAAGGGCGAUAUAUAAAUCGAAUAAACAAAU